rnacentral:rRNA from 1 species
GAGUUUGAUCGUGGCUCAGAGUGAACGCUGGCGGUAGGCCUAACACAUGCAAGUCGAACGGUAACAGGUCUUUCGGGAUGCUGACGAGUGGCGGACGGGUGAGGAAUACAUCGGAAUCUGCUCAGUCGUGGGGGAUUACGCAUGGAAACGUGCGCUAAUACCGCAUACGACCUUCGGGUGAAAGCAGGGGAAUCUUUAGGGAUCCUUGCGCGAUUGAAUGAGCCGAUGUCGGAUUAGCUAGUUGGUAGGGUAAAAGCCUACCAAGGCGACGAUCCGUAGCUGGUCUGAGAGGAUGAUCAGCCACACUGGGACUGAGACACGGCCCAGACUCCUGCGGGAGGCAGCAGUGGGGAAUAUUGGACAAUGGGGGCAACCCUGAUCCAGCCAUACCGCGUGGGUGAAGAAGGCCUUCUGGGUUGUAAAGCCCUUUUGUUGGGGAAGAAAAACAACGGGUUAAUACCCCGUUGGUAUGACGGUACCCAAAGAAUAAGCACCGGCUAACUUCGUGCCAGCAGCCGCGGUAAUACGAAGGGUGCAAGCGUUACUCGGAAUUACUGGGCGUAAAGGGUGCGUAGGUGGUUGCGCCAGUCUGUCGUGAAAGCCCUGGGCUUAACCUGGGAAUGGCGAUGGAAACUGUGCAACUAGAGUGUGACAGAGGGUGGUGGAAUUCCUGGUGUAGCAGUGAAAUGCGUAGAGAUCAGGAGGAACAUUCGUGGCGAAGGCGGCCACCUGGGUCAACACUGACACUGAGGCACGAAAGCGUGGGGAGCAAACAGGAUUAGAUACCCUGGUAGUCCACGCCCUAAACGAUGCGAACUGGAUGUUGGGUCCAACUUGGGAUUCAGUAUCGAAGCUAACGCGUUAAGUUCGCCGCCUGGGGAGUACGGUCGCAAGACUGAAACUCAAAGGAAUUGACGGGGGCCCGCACAAGCGGUGGAGUAUGUGGUUUAAUUCGAUGCAACGCGCAGAACCUUACCUGGCCUUGACAUGCACGGGAGUCUUUAGAGAUAGAG